rnacentral:lncRNA from 1 species
UUGAGUUUGAGUCUGGUGUUGAAAAUAAUAUUUUUUUAAUUCUUGGAUAACUAUAAUAAUUGUUAUUUAUUUCAUUUUAUUCAUGGGGCACUUGGGCUUGAAGAAGGUGUUGUGAUAAUAUUUUUUUUAUUUUUUGAAAUAAUUAUAAUAAUUGCUAUUUAUUUCAUUUCAUUUCGGUGCACUUGGGCUUGAGUUUGAUGCUACAAUAAUUAUUUUUUCUAUUUUUUAAAAAUAAUUAUAAUAAUUUCUAUUUAUUUCAUUUUAUUUCGGGGCAUUUGAGUUUAAG